GCCUGGAGUCAGGAAGACCUGAGUUCAAAUCCAGCCUCAGACAUUUACUAGCUGUGUGACCCUGGGCAAGUCACUUAACCUCAGUUUGCCUCAGUUUCCCCAUCUGUAAAAUGGGGGUAAUAAUAGCACCUACCUCCCAGGGUUGUGAGGAUCAAAU
rnacentral:snoRNA from 1 species